CCUACGGGAGGCAGCAGUGGGGAAUAUUGCACAAUGGGGGAAACCCUGAUGCAGCGACGCCGCGUGAGUGAAGAAGUAAUUCGUUAUGUAAAGCUCUAUCAGCAGGGAAGAAAAUGACGGUACCUGAGUAAGAAGCCCCGGCUAACUACGUGCCAGCAGCCGCGGUAAUACGUAGGGGGCAAGCGUUAUCCGGAUUUACUGGGUGUAAAGGGAGCGUAGACGGCAGUGCAAGUCUGGAGUGAAAGGCUGGGGCUCAACCCCCGGACUGCUCUGGAAACUGUACGGCUGGAGUGCAGGAGAGGUAAGUGGAAUGCCUAGUGUAGCGGUGAAAUGCGUAGAUAUUAGGAGGAACACCAGUGGCGAAGGCAGCUUACUGGACUGUAACUGACGUUGAGGCUCGAAAGCGUGGGGAGCAAACAGGAUUAGAUACCCCGGUAGUC
rnacentral:rRNA from 1 species